rnacentral:misc_RNA from 1 species
AGUGUCUCAUGAUAGACAGAUUGAGUUCAACGCUGCUAGUUACUGUUUAUUAUAGUGUAUUAGAACUAUAUCGAACACAAUAUAUAUUGUUGAUUCCGAUCCACCAUUAAAAGAUUCACUUUCGCCCACUUUUGAUACGUCCGCGACGUUGUUCGGUCAGGUAGGAGAGCCGCAGGUGGAUGGUUUGUUACUAGUGCUUUGAAGACUUCCUGCUUUGGAGUAUAUACUGAGCAUAUCAAUUAACAUUUUUAAAUUGGCGUGAUGGGACAGUGACAUGUGAGUGCAACUUGGGCAGUGACUGAAGCUUUAUAUGAGAAGUACUUUAUCAAACUAGAUAACAAAGUUAAGCUGGUGAAGCGUC